rnacentral:rRNA from 1 species
CUGUAUGGAAGGGCCAUCGCUCAACGGAUAAAAGGUACUCCGGGGAUAACAGGCUGAUACCGCCCAAGAGUUCAUAUCGACGGCGGUGUUUGGCACCUCGAUGUCGGCUCAUCACAUCCUGGGGCUGAAGCCGGUCCCAAGGGUAUGGCUGUUCGCCAUUUAAAGUGGUACGCGAGCUGGGUUUAGAACGUCGUGAGACAGUUCGGUCCCUAUCUGCCGUGGACGUUUGAGAUUUGAGAGGGGCUGCUCCUAGUACGAGAGGACCGGAGUGGACGAACCUCUGGUGUUCCGGUUGUCACGCCAGUGGCAUUGCCGGGUAGCUAUGUUCGGAAUAGAUAACCGCUGAAAGCAUCUAAGCGGGAAACUAGCCUCAAGAUGAGAUCUCACUGGAACCUUGAGUUCCCUGAAGGGCCGUCGAAGACUACGACGUUGAUAGGUUGGGUGUGUAAGCGCUGUGAGGCGUUGAGCUAACCAAUACUAAUUGCCCGUGAGGCUUGACCAU